AAACCAACAUGCCUGAUGCGCGUGCGCCGAAAGCUGGGCACGAAGAAGCCAGUUAGCAAUUAGCAACUUAGCUUCCACGGCUUCUCGCAGGCACCGUGGAAGAGGGGAGGAGGCGAAGCGUGUGCAGCAGCAGUACCCCGGGUGACCAGUUGACGCUAAUCGGGGAUCCGACGGGUCACGGCACUAAACUAUUUAAAACUUUAAGUAUAUUAAACAUUUUAAUAUUUUAAAAACAAUUUAAACUGGACUAAUGCUCUAAUGGUCAUUUUAGAGAAUUAGUAUAUUAAAAACCAGAUUAAUACUAUACAUUUGCAGACAUUUAUCUUUAGUUUUACGAACCUAGUUGGUUUUUAUGUGUUACAACUUUGUUAUUGUGAGCUACACUACUGUCCAGAUCCCUCAGAAGGACUGAGUGUUGAAGACAUGGAAGAAAGCAGUUGAUGAUUCAGGUGGAAGUACUGAAAAAAGACCCAGAUCACAAGCAGAUAGAUGAGUUAAUGUCUGCCACGUUUUCCAAGCGCAGAAAGGAGAUUGUGGGGAUCAACCUCUCAUCGGGGAUGUUAUGGCAAAAUGGCCGGCCAUGUUCUGUGAGAGACAGAGAGCAUGGCUGAUGCUGUUUUUGGUGGUGCACUGAAGGCCAUUUUGGAUUUGGAUCUUUUUGUCUGAAGAAAGAGGACACAAACAAAAGGAUAAAGACUGCGGCUCUGCUGGGUCUGCCACACUAUUUUUCCGAAAAGCCUCAAACAUCAUCAGGAUGUGUGACGCAAGAUUUCUCACAUACAUACACACCCACAUGUACAACACUUGUGCACACACAUACCACACACAGUCACACACACAACCUUAAACACAUUGAUUGGAUUAACCCAUUUAAUCCUGAUUUUUUUUCUGAAAAGUUAAGUACAUAGAUUUUACUCUUUAGACCUCUCUAAUGAACAUGUCUUUCUUUCGUUGUAUGUUGGUUAAGUUGCUCAAAUUUUAAGUUUUAUGGUUAGUCACAAUUGUGACCGCUGGGAACAUACAUAGUCUGUUUUAGACAGUAAAAACGGACUAUGUUGUCCAUAGAGAUAUAUUGAAUACUUUUCAACAUUUGUUUACAGAAUAAGGAUAUGCAUAAUAGACCUAACCAUAUCUCAUGAUUCUCUACUUAGUGGGUAUUGUCAUAACUACUUUCAUUUUAACAUUUCAAGUGUGUAAAUAGCCGUUAUUAGUCUAAGUGUGCGAAUAGGCCUCAUUAUAGGAAUUCUUGACAAUGUAUUUUCCCAGCGGUCACAAUUGUGAUCAGGCCCAAAUAUGCACCUCUUCUGAGCACAAUAUAUACACAGGCGUACAAUUUUCUACAUGUAACCCCUUCAAGAGUAUGUGUACCAAAUUCGAUAGUUUUGUAUGCAUAUUAGGUAUUUAACCUAAACAUUCACACAAUUCUUUUUUGCUAUGAAGGGCAUGCAGCUUGACAGAGCUUCACGGAGCCACGGCAACCAUUGUUUAGACAUCCCUUAGAGACCUUAGCAUACCUGUGCAUUCCAUUGUUAAAUUGCUAAACAAAAGGCAUCACAAUGACGUUCUAACCAGUCACUUUAUACUUUAAUACAAUGUUAUUAAAAUGACUACAGUGUGUGUGUUUUUGUUUGUUUGUUUU